ensembl:lncRNA
CGCGGAGCCGCUCUCCCGUUGGCGGGCGGGCGCGUCCGGUGCGGGGCCGGGGGAGGGUGCCAUUGGCUGGAAAGUAGGUUAGUGGUGCGCCGUCGGGUGGCAAGCCAGGCGGAAACCAAGUCCUGUUUCUGUAUGUCACAUUUCCAAGAGGAAGUGACUGAGGGUAGAAGGACUUUAUUGACUGGCAGUUCCCAGGGCAGCGCUGGAGAGGUGCACAAAAGUUUCUGUGCCUUGGUAAACAAGGAUAUCAAGCUGGACUCAAAGGAGCAACAAAUAAAUUUAAUGCAUGUUGUGGAAGAGGAGACAGAACCUUUGAAGAGAGCUGAAGGGACUUUAACAGAUAAAAAAGCAUUUCAGUUGAGCACCAGAUGAGUGACUGAAGAAAACACACAUACAAGCAGAGUAUGUAUUUCUCUGUUAAAGUCAGGGUACAGUAGUGCAUGAGAUUGAAGUGAACAUUUCAGAAAAGUAGGACUCUAAAAAAAAAAAAAAAAAGCCAGAACUCUUUGUAUCUAUUGUUCAGUACAUGAUCCUCUGAAAUAUGUGAUGCUUUUCUGUUCUAAGCAUGUUUGUCUGGUUGGGUUUUUCCCCAUGAGUAAUUAAUCAAAGGUCAAAGGUUUGGCUUGAUGAUCUUGGAGGUCCUUUCCAACCUUAAUGAAUCUAUGGUCAGUAAGUUUGCCUGCUUUAGUGGGCCCUUUGGCCCCUUUUCAAAAGGGAAUUGAGAGCUGUAUUUAAUGAUGGGGAAGAUGUGGUGGUGCAGGAGAGGUUUGAGGUGAGUGGGGCAGUGUUCACAGACUGAAGAGCCUGGCAAGGUGAGGCUUGGCCCUGCCAUUCUGCUGUUUGCUUUGGCUGCUUUGUGCCUGCUGACUUUUCUGUGGCUCCUUGCUCUGGGUGCUGCAGGGGAGUUCAACUGUUUAAACUGGGUUUGAAAUUCCGCUUACGAAAGCAGACAAACCUGGCCUCCUGUACUAGGCUGGUUUUUUUUGGAUAAGCUAAGCUUAUACAAGCUGCUUUGCUAAACUCAUGGUGUCUAAUGAUUCAGUUCAAAUGUUCCACCUGGUGCUGAGUGGGUGAUAAUUGCAGGUGAGAUAACUUAAAACAGAGUUGACCUGGAAGGGUUUUUUGAGGAUGUUGCAUAUUUCACACUUUCCCUAUGAGUAUUCCAUAUAUAUCAUACUUGCAAAUAGAAGUUUCUCUGAAUACUUAAUGGAGGUAAUGUUCUUUUUGUGAUAACAGCUGAGAGACCAUUGUGUGCCAUCAAGAAGAGCCAGCUGCUGUCCCCAGAGUCUCCAGCAGGGCUAUGAGUUGUGAUGAAGAGUAGGAUGAGGGCCCAGAGUUACCUUCAGCUCAGGGACUUCACCCUCAGCAGAAUCCCUUUCCAUGAGCUGCUCCAGCCUCUCUGUGCAAAGCACAUGAGAUUCCCAGCCUCCUGCUACCUGGCAGAGAGUUUCCACAGCCUUCCACCUUGCAUGAAGGGCUGUGUUGGAUUGAGCCUUUCAGCCAAGCUUUGCUUGAUGUCCCCAUGACAUUUGAUGAGUUUGUAGAUCUUGGUCCUGGCCAGUUUUCUAAGCUGAAGACCAGUGUUUUCAUUGUUCCUCAAGCAGAACUCAUUGCCUCUAUUGUUCUACUGAGUGAAAGUAGAAGGUUUUCCAUUUUCUAAUAAAUUUAAGUGCUGUGGAUUUGUUGGAUGAUAU